ACGAACGCUGGCGGCAUGCCUAACACAUGCAAGUCGAACGAGACCUUCGGGUCUAGUGGCGCACGGGUGCGUAACGCGUGGGAACCUGCCCUUAGGUUCGGAAUAACUCCCCGGAAGGGGUGCUAAUACCGGAUAAUGUCUUCGGACCAAAGAUUUAUCGCCUUUGGAUGGGCCCGCGUUGGAUUAGCUAGUUGGUAGGGUAAAAGCCUACCAAGGCGACGAUCCAUAGCUGGUCUGAGAGGAUGAUCAGCCACACUGGGACUGAGACACGGCCCAGACUCCUACGGGAGGCAGCAGUGGGGAAUAUUGGACAAUGGGCGAAAGCCUGAUCCAGCAAUGCCGCGUGAGUGAUGAAGGCCUUAGGGUUGUAAAGCUCUUUUACCCGGGAUGAUAAUGACAGUACCGGGAGAAUAAGCUCCGGCUAACUCCGU
rnacentral:rRNA from 1 species